rnacentral:rRNA from 1 species
UACGUAGGGUGCGAGCGUUGUCCGGAAUUACUGGGCGUAAAGAGCUCGUAGGUGGUUUGUCGCGUUGUUCGUGAAAACUCACAGCUUAACUGUGGGCGUGCGGGCGAUACGGGCAGACUGGAGUACUGCAGGGGAGACUGGAAUUCCUGGUGUAGCGGUGGAAUGCGCAGAUAUCAGGAGGAACACCGGUGGCGAAGGCGGCGACCUGGGUAGAUACUGACGCUGAGGCGCGAAAGCGUGGGGAGCAAACAGG